CCUACGGGACGCAGCAGUGAGGAAUAUUGGUCAAUGGGCGGAAGCCUGAACCAGCCAAGUCGCGUGAGGGAAUAAUGCCCUACGGGUCGUAAACCUCUUUUGCCAGGGAGCAAGGGCGGCGACGUGUACCGGCCCUGAGAGUACCUGGAGAAAAAGCAUCGGCUAACUCCGUGCCAGCAGCCGCGGUAAUACGGAGGAUGCGAGCGUUAUCCGGAUUUAUUGGGUUUAAAGGGUGCGUAGGCGGGCUGUUAAGUCAGCGGUAAAAACUCGGGGCUCAACCCCGUCCGGCCGUUGAAACUGGCGGU
rnacentral:rRNA from 1 species